rnacentral:rRNA from 1 species
GACGAACGCUGGCGGCGUGCUUAACACAUGCAAGUCGAACGGAAAGGCCCUGCUUUUGUGGGGUGCUCGAGUGGCGAACGGGUGAGUAACACGUGAGUAACCUGCCCUUGACUUUGGUAUAACUUCAGGAAACUGGGGCUAAUACCGGAUAGGAUCUCCUGCUGCAUGGUGGGGGUUGGAAAGUUUCGGCGGUUGGGGAUGGACUCGCGGCUUAUCAGCUUGUUGGUGGGGUAGUGGCUUACCAAGGCUUUGACGGGUAGCCGGCCUGAGAGGGUGACCGGCCACACUGGGACUGAGAUACGGCCCAGACUCCUACGGGAGGCAGCAGUGGGGAAUAUUGCACAAUGGGAGGAAGCCUGAUGCAGCAACGCCGCGUGCGGGAUGACGGCCUUCGGGUUGUAAACCGCUUUCGCCUGUGACGAAGCGUGAGUGACGGUAAUGGGUAAAGAAGCACCGGCUAACUACGUG